rnacentral:tRNA from 1 species
UGGAUAAUAGUUAAGUUAUAUAAUAUUUAAAUUGCAUUUAAAAGAAAUUUUUAAAAAAUUUAUCUUU